GUAGGGAAUAUUGCGCAAUGGACGAAAGUCUGACGCAGCGACGCCGCGUGAGUGAUGAAGGCCUUAGGGUCGUAAAGCUCUGUUGAAUGGGAAGAAAAAAAUGACGGUACCAUUCGAGGAAGGACCGGCUAACUUCGUGCCAGCAGCCGCGGUAAUACGAGGGGUCCUAGCGUUGUUCGGAAUCAUUGGGCGUAAAGGGUGUGUAGGUGGCCAGGUAAGUCAGGUGUGAAAGCCCCGGGCUCAACCCAGGAAGUGCACUUGAUACUGCGUGGCUUGAGUACCGAAGAGGGUAGUGGAAUUCCAGGUGUAGUGGUGAAAUACGUAGAUAUCUGGAGGAACACCGGUGGCGAAGGCGGCUACCUGGUCGAGUACUGACACUGAGACACGAAAGCAUGGGGAUCAAACAGGAUUAGAUACCCGUGUAGUCC
rnacentral:rRNA from 1 species